UCUCGGUGGUUCCGCGAUGCGCUGGUGGUUUCUACCCCCGUGCCAAAAUCUCCAUCAUCUCCGUCGAAAAAGACAUCGUCUCGUACUCCCCCGACGUCUCCCUGUUCCCCCUCAGUGCGAUGCAGAACGUCCAUGGCUGUGAUGGGACACGAGAAUCUUUCCGUGAUUGUGGCGGAGACCGGGUGGCCUAGCUCUGGGAUUGAUUCUGGCGAAGACGACGCGACGUUGCUGUAUAGCAAGAUGUUCUUGAAAGGUUUGUUGGCGCAUUUGAGGAGCGGUGGUGGGACGAAGAUGGUGGUGGUGGAGGGAAAGGAAGAAGAUUGAUGGAGGUUUUGAGUUCUCGGGUGGUGGUGGAGGGAAAGGAAGAAGAUUGGUGGAGGUUUUGGUUGGGUUCUUGGUGGGGGUGGUGAUGCUUUAUCUGUUGGUGUAAACGAGAGCCAUGUCUCUGCUCUCAGAUCUCGUCAACCUCAACCUCUCCGACUCCACCAAGCAAAUCAUUGCCGAAUACAUAUGGAUCGGUGGAUCUAGAAUGGACAUUAGAAGCAAAGCCAGGGUAAGUUGAUACUCUGUUUAUGCAUCCUCUGUUUAUUUUUUAUUUUUGUUCCUUUUGUGAUCAAUCUGAUUUGUUUUGGUUAUACAGACACUCUGUUCAUACAACAACGACAAAAGAAAACAUUCACAGACACACACACAUGCACAAGU